CAUGUGAAGCUGAACUACCAAAGCACUGAACAACUCCACCCAAGACUUCCCCCCAAAGACAUGCUACAAUCCAAGCCAUCAAAGCAAUCAUCCAGAACUUAAGAUACUGCAGCCAAAAAGAAAUGACUUCAUCUUAGAAUCAAUUCUAUGCCUGUGAAAGCCAUAGGUUUUAAGGACCCAAAACAUUCACAAGGAAAUUGGGGGAAACGAGUCCUUUACCACACGCAGGCCAGUUCAAGAAUUAAUCUAAAGUUUGCAAAACACACACGACACAUCAUGCUCCUCUCGACAACCACACCAAGUAACAAAAAAACUUACAUAAAAAAGCUAAAGUUAGCCCACAUGAACCAACUUGAAGGAACAAAAUAAAAGCACCAAAAAGAACUAAACUUUGCCUCUCUAAUAACCCAUCAAAACCCACCAAGAUCCACAACCCACCCCUAAAAGACCAAUCUUUCCAACACCGGAGCUCAAAAUAGAAACCCCAAAACACUAAAAAAUUCAAAGCUUCAACUUCUAAACUAACACAACACCCAGUCCAAAUAGAUCCAAUUCACGUUCACCAAGAUCAAUAAUUCUCCACAUAUUAGCACUAUUAAACGUCAAAUAACCUUAAUUCACACCAAACCAUAUGACCAAACCAGUCCACAGACAAUAAAAAAACUCUUUUUCCCAAAAAAAUUCUUAUUUUGAUCACUUACCAGGAACUCCAUAGACAAGAGCUGGACCACGGAAGAGCUCGAUCCCAGAAACCCUAACCCUAGAAGCUCCCCGGAGAGGGGAAAUGGGGACCUGGAGCUCAAAGGAGGCGACUUUCUUGUGCCCAGAGUCGCUUCCACCCCCACCAAAAAACCUAAAUCGUUGGUAAAAGAUUCAAAGCCAAGCCCACGACCACCAGUCGAUAUUUUUUAUAAUAUAAAAUAAAAUCCAAGAACCCACAAAAAGGAAUUUUUUAAUGCUUUUAAAUCUAUCAGAAUAAAAGGACCCUGGAUUUUGCGAAUAUUAUAAUCUCCAUUGUGAUUAUGAUGACUUCCA
rnacentral:lncRNA from 1 species